ensembl:lncRNA
CUAGCUUCUAUCUAAAUACAAUAUAGCAUGUCCUGACUGCGGGGUUUUGGAAAAAAAUUCAAACGUACAGCUCUGCUAUAACUUCCAACAUAAAUGAAGACAGAAAACUAAACAGCAGUGACGUUUGUAGGGUUACUGAAGUUGGGCUAGCUGGUAUAUAAUGAUGUGCUACGUGACCGCUAGCGACACAGCUAUGUUAGCAUAACAUAAACAAGCUAACUUUUUUUCCACUCGAUAAAAGUUAACGUGAGUGUUCUCGGUGGUCAGGAACAAAUGGCAGGAUGCUGUAAAAGGACUAAACUUCAGCCAGGAGAACAACUGAGAUAAUCCAUCCACAAUACGAGGGUGAUGUAAGCAUGAAUUGAAGCAGUUACCAUUUUUGAUACCAUGUUCUUCAAACAAGUAAUGGGGGUCGCUUGGAUGGGUGACGAAACGUUGGUCCCACUGAAAACGCUACAUCCAGAUGAACGCAGUCAACUUUUCCUGGGAUUUCCUUACCUGGAUGAUGGAGCAUGCAUCAAGACGGUGCACUUGGAAAUUAUUUCAAUAUCAUCAUUAAAGCUGAAAUGUGUUGGAGUGAAAUAUGGAAAACGAACUUUUAAAAAAGAUUGAGAAUUUGAAGAACACUUACAAUAUCAUUAAAAUAGUACAGGUUUUUAGAGAUAUGUGCCAUUGUUUCCUUUGAAACACAAAGUCUUGUUUUGUGUUCCUGACAGCCACAAGACCUGCACCAGCUGGGCUCUCACUCCCUCACAGCUAUAAGGCCUCAUGUCUUCUGGGGUGACUCAAACACAAUAAACCACAAAAUAACAGACAAAUUGGGGCAGAUGGAGGAGGGAGAUGACGAGGGAAAAAUUUUGUCUGUGAAAGACGAAAAGGACAUGGAGGGGAAACAAAGAAAACAUAAAGGUGCAUGACGAGGCAUCAAUAAAACAAGAAAAGAGGAAGAUGUGUUUUGUCUGUUGACAGGUAAAACAG